AUUGAACGCUGGCGGCAGGCCUAACACAUGCAAGUCGAGCGGAGCGGCGGACGGGUGAUUACUGCCUAGGAAUCUGCCUGUUAGUUGGGGAUACCUUCCAGAACCGGGCGCUAAUACCGCAUACUAUCAGAUGAGCCUCGGUCGGAUUAGCUAGUUGGUGGGGUAAAGGCCUACCAAGGCGACGAUCCGUAACUGGUCUGAGAGGAUGAUCGGUCACACUGGAACUGAGACACGGGCCAGACUCCUACGGGAGGCAGCAGUGGGGAAUAUUGGACAAUGGGCGAAAGCCUGACCCAGCCAUGCCGCGUGUGUGAAGAAGGUCUUCGGAUUGUAAAGCACUUUAAGUUGGGAGGCGUUACCAACAGAAUAAGCACCGGCUAACUUCGUGCCAGCAGCCGCGGUAAUAC
rnacentral:rRNA from 1 species